rnacentral:ncRNA from 1 species
AGGGGAAGCCGGUGGGAAUCCGGCGCUGACCCGCAGCCGUGAGCCGCCCGCACCAUCGGGGCAGGCGCAGCCGGAAUGCCU